GCGUCCACGGAUGCACGCCGGCCGGCGAGUUUCGCCCGCCGGCGCGUUUUCG
rnacentral:sRNA from 1 species